rnacentral:rRNA from 1 species
UACAGAGGUCCCAAGCGUUGUUCGGAUUCAUUGGGCGUAAAGGGUGCGUAGGCGGCGCGGUAAGUCGGGUGUGAAAUCUCGGAGCUUAACUCCGAAACUGCAUUCGAUACUGCCGUGCUUGAGGACUGGAGAGGAGACUGGAAUUUACGGUGUAGCGGUGAAAUGCGUAGACAUCGUAAGGAAGACCAGUGGCGAAGGCGGGUCUCUGGACAGUUCCUGACGCUGAGGCACGAAGGUCAGGGGAGCAAACGGG